rnacentral:rRNA from 1 species
AACGAACGCUGGCGGCAGGCCUAACACAUGCAAGUCGAACGCCCCCUUCGGGGGGAGUGGCGCACGGGUGAGUAACGCGUGGGAAUCUGCCCUUUGGUUCGGAAUAACCCUGGGAAACUAGGGCUAACACCGGAUAAGCCCGAGAGGGGAAAGUUUACGCCAAAGGAGGAGCCCGCGUCCGAUUAGCUAGUUGGUGAGGUAAAAGCUCACCAAGGCUUCGAUCGGUAGCUGGUCUGAGAGGACGAUCAGCCACACUGGGACUGAGACACGGCCCAGACUCCUACGGGAGGCAGCAGUGGGGAAUAUUGGACAAUGGGCGCAAGCUUGAUCCAGCCAUGCCGCGUGAGUGAUGAAGGCCUUCGGGUUGUAAAGCUCUUUUGGCGGGGACGAUGAUGACGGUACCCGCAGAAUAAGCCCCGGCAAACUUCGUGCCAGCCGCCGCGGUAAUAC